UACGAAGGGUGCAAGCGUUGUUCGGAAUUAUUGGGCGUAAAGGGUUCGUAGGCGGAACUGUAAGUCAAGUGUGAAAUCCCGGGGCUCAACCUCGGAACUGCCCUUGAAACUGGAAGGCUAGAAUCCUGGAGAGGCGAGUGGAAUUCCGAGUGUAGAGGUGAAAUUCGUAGAUAUUCGGAAGAACACCAGUGGCGAAGGCGACUCGCUGGACAGGUAUUGACGCUGAGGUGCGAAAGCGUGGGGAGCAAACAGGAUUAGAAACCCGUGUAGU
rnacentral:rRNA from 1 species